CGUAGGGUGCGAGCGUUAAUCGGAAUUACUGGGCGUAAAGCGUGCGCAGGCGGUUUUGUAAGACAGAUGUGAAAUCCCCGGGCUCAACCUGGGACCUGCAUUUGUGACUGCAAGGCUAGAGUACGGUAGAGGGGGAUGGAAUUCCGCGUGUAGCAGUGAAAUGCGUAGAUAUGCGGAGGAACACCGAUGGCGAAGGCAAUCCCCUGGACCUGUACUGACGCUCAUGCACGAAAGCGUGGGGAGCAAACAGGAUUAGAUACCCUGGUAGUCCACGCCCUAAACGAUGUCAACUGGUUGUUGAGUCUUUACUGACUCAGUAACGAAGCUAACGCGUGAAGUUGACCGCCUGGGGAGUACGGCCGCAAGGUUG
rnacentral:rRNA from 1 species